UACGAAGGGGGCUAGCGUUGCUCGGAAUCACUGGGCGUAAAGGGUGCGUAGGCGGGUCUUUAAGUCAGGGGUGAAAUCCUGGAGCUCAACUCCAGAACUGCCUUUGAUACUGAGGAUCUUGAGUUCGGGAGAGGUGAGUGGAACUACGAGUGUAGAGGUGAAAUUCGUAGAUAUUCGCAAGAACACCAGUGGCGAAGGCAGCUCGCUGGGACGGUACUGACGCUGAGGCGCGAAAGCGUGGGGAGCGAACAGG
rnacentral:rRNA from 1 species